rnacentral:rRNA from 1 species
CGCUAGCUACAGGCUUAACACAUGCAAGUCGAGGGGCAGCGCAGUGUAGCAAUACAUGGGCGGCGACCGGCGCACGGGUGCGUAACGCGUAUCCAACCUUCCCGUUACUCAGGGAUAGCCUUCCGAAAGGGAGAUUAAUACCUGAUGGUGUUCAAAUUCCGCAUGUUAUUUGAACUAAAGAUUUAUCGGUAACGGAUGGGGAUGCGUGACAUUAGGUAGAUGGCGGGGUAACGGCCCACCAUGCCUACGAUGUCUAGGGGUUCUGAGAGGAAGGUCCCCCACACUGGAACUGAGACACGGUCCAGACUCCUACGGGAGGCAGCAGUGAGGAAUAAAAAUCAAUGGCCGGAAGGCUGAACCAGCCAAGUAGCGUGAAGGAUGAAGGUUCUAUGGAUUGUAAACUUCUUUUAUACGGGAAUAAAACCACCUACGUGUAGGUGCUUGUAUGUACCGUAUGAAUAAGCAUCGGCUAACUCCGUGCCAGCAGCCGCGGUAAUACGGAGGAUGCGAGCGUUAUCCGGAUUUAUUGGGUUUAAAGGGAGCGUAGACGGGAGAUUAAGUCAGUUGUGAAAGGCUGCGGCUCAACCGCAGCACUGCAGUUGAUACUGGUUUCCUUGAGUGCGGUUGAGGUAAAAGGAAUUCGUGGUGUAGCGGUGAAAUGCUUAGAUAUCUUAAAGGUCUCCGAUUG